AGCUUUGGAGUUUAUAAUGAGGCUCGGUGCAAUCAUAUCAUUAAUCAAUGGAGCAACUCUUCGCUUCAGUCAGUAAGCUGGUAUCCAUCUGAAGUUCACCAUUAACUAAAACCAGUAUCGCUGAU